rnacentral:misc_RNA from 1 species
AACGCACCUUGCGCCCCUUGGCAUUCCGAGGGGCACACCUGUUUGAGCGUCGUGAAUAUCUCAACCCAACGCACUUUUGCAUUAAAGUGUCGAUGGGCUUUGGACUUGGAGGCCUUGCCGUGCGCACCCCGCAUCGGCUCCUCUGGAAUGUAUUAGCGAGGACCCUUUGCAUGGCCUUGACGUGAUAAUGAUUGUCGUCGUCGGCCUAGCUCUGCUCGGAACCGCUUCAAACCGUCUUCGGACAAAUGGCUCGCAUGAGUCAAAUCAAACUUGACCUCAAAUCAGGUGGGACUACCCGCUGAACUUAA